ensembl:miRNA
AAGAAGCCCGGCUCGCUGGCGUGGAGCCGGGCGUGCAGUUUUAUCCGGUAAAGCGAAUGAUUAGAGGUCUUGGGGCCGAAACGAUCUCAAC